AAUCCCAUUUCAGUACCUUCCACUCGCAUGACAAUGAAUGGACGGCUAUGCUAAUGGGAUAGAAGAACACUGUCAUGGUCUGAAGGUGUGGCUAGCUGACUGUGCGCCCCGCUCAAUAAAAUGACAGAAUAUAUCUAU
ensembl:snoRNA